UACGUAGGGUGCAAGCGUUAAUCGGAAUUACUGGGCGUAAAGCGUGCGCAGGCGGUCUUGCAAGACAGGUGUGAAAUCCCCGGGCUUAACCUGGGAACUGCACUUGUGACUGCAAGGCUGGAGUACGGCAGAGGGGGAUGGAAUUCCGCGUGUAGCAGUGAAAUGCGCAGAUAUCAGGAGGAACACCGGUGGCGAAGGCGGUGGUCUGGGCCGGAACUGACGCUGAGGAGCGAAAGCGUGGGGAGCAAACAGG
rnacentral:rRNA from 1 species